rnacentral:rRNA from 1 species
CACCGCGGUUAUACGAGAGGCCUAAGUUGAUAGCCAACGGCGUAAAGAGUGGUUAAGGAAACCCUAAAACUAAAGCCGAACAUUUUCACUGCCGUUUAACGCAUCCGAAAAUAUGAAGCCCCACCACGAAAGUGGCUUUAAUCUACCUGACCCCACGAAAGCUGUGAAA